rnacentral:rRNA from 1 species
ACGAACGCUGGCGGCGUGCCUAAUACAUGCAAGUCGAACGGUCUUUCUAUGGAAGCUUGCUUCCACUGAGAAGAUAGUGGCGAACGGGUGAGUAACACGUGGGUAACCUGCCCAUAAGAGGGGGAUAACAUCCGGAAACGGGUGCUAAUACCGCAUAGUUUUCUUGAUCGCAUGAUUGAGAAAGGAAAGACGGCCUUUGUGCUGUCGCUUAUGGAUGGACCCGCGGCGUAUUAGUUAGUUGGUGAGGUAACGGCUCACCAAGACGAUGAUACGUAGCCGACCUGAGAGGGUGAUCGGCCACAUUGGGACUGAGACACGGCCCAAACUCCUACGGGAGGCAGCAGUAGGGAAUCUUCCGCAAUGGACGAAAGUCUGACGGAGCAACGCCGCGUGAGUGAAGAAAAGGGUUUUCGGAUCGUAAAACUCUGUUGUCAGAGAAGAACAAGUUGGAGAGUAACUGCUCCAGCCUUGACGGUAUCUGACCAGAAAGCCACGGCUAACUACGUGCCAGCCGCCGC